rnacentral:lncRNA from 1 species
UUUGAUUCAUUGUGACGUGUGGGGACCGUAUCGCACACCAGCUUCUUGUGGGGCAGUUUAUUUCUUAACUAUUGUUGAUGAUCACUCAAGAGCGGUUUGGACUUAUCUAAUGCUUGAAAAGUCCGAAGUCGCUUCUCUUCUACGAAAUUUCUGUGCAAUGGCGGAUAGACAGUUUGGGAAAAAGGUCCAAACAAUUCGGACAGACAAUGGCACUGAGUUUAUGACUCUGGCGCCCUACUUCCGUGACAAUGGUAUACGCCACCAGACCUCCUGCACUUAUACGCCCCAACAAAACGGCAGAGUCGAACGAAAACAUCGCCAUAUUUUAAAUGUGGCUCGAGCCUGCUUAUUCCAGUCUAGAUUACCUGUUGAAUUCUGGGGAGAAAGCAUACUUGCCGCGGCACAUAUGAUCAAUCGAACUCCAACGCAAGUUCUUGAUGGAAAAACUCCGUAUGAAGUUCUUCAUGGAACUCCCCCUAUAUACGAUCAACUACGCGUGUUUGGGUGCCUGUGUUACGCACACACACGACCAAGAGACAGAGAUAAGUUCAGUCCACGAAGUCGAAAAUGUCUUUUUGUGGGUUACCCCUUCGGCAAGAAAGCAUGGCGCCUAUAUGAUCUCGAGUCUAAUGAAUUUUUCACAAGCCGGGAUGUGGCUUUCUUGGAGGACCAGUUUCCGGGGAUUGAGGAUGCAGUAUAUGUUAAACCACCGGUAAUACAGACUGACCUUCCAGCUGAUGAUUGGCUUCUUACGCCGGAACCACCAACGAUCCCACCUGCCGGCACCAAUGAAUCUAGUGAGACAAUAAACAUUGCACCUACGUCUGUAAUAUUGCCAGCGGCUUCUCCUAGUGGAACACCUGUUAGUUUGGAACCAGUUGUCCCUACGUCACCUUCUACACCAUCACCUACGCGUUCAGUGUCUCCUACAUCAUCGCCAUCUCAGUCGCGUGAACAAACUGAACAGAUACCAUCGCCUGGACUUCUGGAAGUUCUUGGUAGAGGUCAACGCGCAAAGAAACCGUCUGUUCUUCUGAAGAACUAUCUUAUUAACUCUGCUACAACUUUGACACCCCCUCACGGCUCUCAUACUUCACCUGUACACGAUCAGAGUUCUCCAACUACGGGUCCAGGUAAGACUCUUUAUCCCAUAUCUGAUUAUUCGUCUACGACUAUGUUUACUCCGAAACAUCAGGCAUUCUUGGCGAAAAUCACAACAGACUAUGUCCCCAAAACUUACAAAGAAGCAGUCAAAGAUCCAAGGUUUAAUGGCGCAAUGAAAUCUGAGGUCACUGCUUUGGAGGAUAAUCAUACAUGGGACGUAACUCCAUUACCACCUGGAAAAAGAGCUAUAAGUUGUCGCUGGAUUUACUCGAAUAAAUAUCGAGCGGAUGGUACACUUGAGAGACCUAAAGCACGUCUAGUGGCCUGUGGAAAUCGACAGAGAGAAGGUCUCGAUUACAAAGAUACGUUUGCACCGGUGGCUAAGAUGAACACUGUUCGAUUUAUUCUCAAAGUGGCAGCAGCCAAGAGAUGGGAAGUUCAUCAGAUGGACGUCCAUAAUGCAUUUUUGCAUGGAGAUCUUGAGGAAGAAAUAUAUAUGCAACUACCCCCUGGUUUUCAAACAGAUGACGAGACAAAGGUUUGCAGACUUCGAAAAUCCUUGUAUGGCCUCAAACAAUCUCCUCGCUGUUGGUUUGCAAAGCUCAGCAAAGCUCUUCUCUCAUUUGGGUUCAAGCAGAGCUAUGAAGAUUACUCUCUCUUCUCGUUUGUGAAAGGCAGCAUAUGUCUUCACAUAUUGGUCUAUGUAGAUGAUUUUAUAAUCGUUGGGAACGAUAUUUCUACAAUCCAACGCUUCAAGAACUAUCUCAGCACCUGUUUUAAGAUGAAAGACUUAGGUAAACUCAAAUAUUUCCUUGGUUUGGAAAUUGCAAGGGGACCUGACGGCAUCUUCGUCUCUCAGAGGAAAUAUGCACUAGAUAUAAUUACUGAAUGCGGUCUGUUGGGAGCUAAACCGGCAGCGGUGCCUACAGAACUUAAUCAUAAGCUGGCUCUUGUCAAGGGCCGUCCCCUCCUGGAUCCAAGCAAGUACCGGCGGCUUGUGGGUCGUCUCAUUUAUCUAACCUUUACUCGCCCUGAACUAAGCUACAUUGUCCACAUACUUUCCCAAUUUAUGCAGAAACCACAAGAGGAUCAUUGGAUAGCAGCUUUGCGUGUCGUCCGCUAUUUAAAAGGUUGCCCGGAUCAAGGAAUUAUGCUCACGUCCAACAGUGAUCUAAGGUUGACAGCGUACUCUGAUUCUGAUUGGUCGGCUUGCCCAAUUACGAGGCGUUCCUUGAGUGCUUAUGUGGUUAUGCUUGGUGAUUCCAUUGUCUCUUGGAAGACCAAGAAGCAACGUACGGUUUCCAGGUCUUCAGCAGAGGCCGAAUACAGAUCAAUGGCAGACACAACGUGUGAAUUGAAAUGGCUCAAACGCCUCCUCCUCCAGCUUGGGUUCUCCCAUUCUCAACCAAUGCGAAUGUUCUGUGAUAGUCAAGCUGCGAUACAUAUAGCUAAGAACCCGGUGUUUCAUGAACGUACAAAACAUGUGGAGAAUGAUUGUCAUACGGUACGAGAUGCAGUUCAAGCUAAACUUCUAACCACUGAACAUAUCACUACGAAGAACCAACCUGCAGAUUUGCUUACUAAAGCAUUACCAGUCCCGGCAUUUCAGUUCUUAUUGUCCAAGUUGGGAAUUCGAGAUAUGUCAUUACCAACUUGAGGGGGGGUAAAGGGAUAAUGAUAAUGUUAUAUUUCCUAUAUUGUAGGAUUUGGGUUAAUCACAUAUUUCCAAUUCCUAGUUAGCGUAUGAUAUUCUCUUUGUAUAUAAACCCUUUGUGGGAUGAUGAAUAAAGUACACGUUCUAUUCAUAUUUU